UACGGGGGGGGCAAGCGUUGUUCGGAAUUAUUGGGCGUAAAGCGCACGUAGGCGGCUCUAUAAGUCGGAUGUGAAAUCCCUCGGCUCAACCAAGGAAGUGCAUCCGAAACUGUGGAGCUUGAGUACUUAAGAGGAUCGCGGAAUUCCCGGUGUAGAGGUGAAAUUCGUAGAUAUCGGGAGGAACACCAGUGGCGAAGGCGGCGAUCUGGGAAGAUACUGACGCUGAGGUGCGAAAGCGUGGGGAGCAACAGG
rnacentral:rRNA from 1 species